rnacentral:rRNA from 16 species
UACCCACGCUAGGACGGAAAGACCCCGUGGAGCUUUACUGUAGCCUGAUAUUGAAAUUCGGCACAGCUUGUACAGGAUAGGUAGGAGCCUUUGAAACGUGAGCGCUAGCUUACGUGGAGGCGUUGGUGGGAUACUACCCUAGCUGUGUUGGCUUUCUAACCCGCACCACUUAUCGUGGUGGGAGACAGUGUCAGGCGGGCAGUUUGACUGGGGCGGUCGCCUCCCAAAG